CUUAAUGUGCUGGCUAGAACUUGCGGUAUUCUGUUGAAUAGCAGUGGAGUCUGGAAUUUUGCUACCUGCUAAGCAGAGGGUUAUUUGUAAGGGAUCCCGAAUAUAAAUCCUGAGCACUGAGUCUCGAAUGAGCUUCAUUGGUAGACAAGACAACUCAAAAAUAAAAUAUUUGGGAAUACACAUAAACAAGGAGAUGAAAGACUGUUAGAAGAAAAACUACAAAACACUGCUGAAAGAAAUUAUAGAAGACACAAAAUCUUGUGUUUUCAUAACUCAUUGCUGGAGGAAUUAAGUGAGUAGUGCAUCCUGUGUGACGACACUGAAGGAGGACUCUUACGGCUCUUGUAAGAUUAUGCUUGGUUGCCUUGCACUUUUUCUUUCCCUGAUAUUGCUUUGUAUUCUUUCACUAUAAUAAAUCAACCACAAAUAAGACUAUAUGCUGAAUCCUGUAGGGCCCCUAGUAAAUCAUCAAAUCUUGAGGUGAUCUGGGGAUCCCCAGCAUGGUAACUUAAUGGCUUAUUUCUUCUUUCAUUCUGAGCAUAAAAGCUGCCCAAGUGGUGCUGGGAUAAUUGGCAAGCCACAUGUAGAAGAAUGAAACUGUAUCCUCAUCUGUCACUUUAUUCAAAAAUCAACUCAAGAUGGAUCAAAGACUUAAAUCGAAGAGCUGAAAUAAUAAAAAUUCUAGAUGAUAACAUCAGAAAAAUCCUUUUAGAUAUUGGCUUAGGCAAAGACUUCACGACCAAGAAACCAAAAGCAAAUGCAACAAAAAACAAAGAGAAAUAGAUGAAACUUAACUAAACUAAAAAGCUUUUGCACAGCAAAAGAAAUAAUCAGCAGAGUAAACAGACAACCCACAGAGUGGGAGAAAAUCUUUGCAAACUAUGUAUCCAACAAAGGACUAAUCCAGAAUCUACAAAGAACUCAAAGAAGUCAACAAGAAAAAAACAAAUAAUUCCAUCAAAAAGUGGGCUAAGGACAUGAAUAGACAAUUCUCAAAAUAAGAUAUACAAAUGAACAAAAAAAAAUACAAAAAAUUAUCAAUAUGACUAAUUAUCAGAGAAAUGCAAAUCAAAACCAUAAUGUGAUACCACCGUACUCCUGCAAAAAAAUGUCCAUAAUUUAAAAAUCCUAAAAUAGUAGAUGUUGGCAUGGAUGUGAUGAAAGGGAACACUUUUACACUGCUGGUGAGGAUGUAAACUCAUACAGCCACUAUGGAAAACAGUAUGGCAAUUCCUUAAAGAACUAAAAAUAAAUCUACCAUUUGAUCCAGCAGUCUUACUACUGGGUAUUUACCCAGAGGAAAAUAAGUCAGUAUAUGAAAAAGAUAUUUAC
rnacentral:lncRNA from 1 species